CCUACGGGUGGCAGCAGUAGGGAAUCUUCCACAAUGGGCGAAAGCCUGAUGGAGCAACGCCGCGUGGGUGAAGAAGGUCUUCGGAUCGUAAAACUCUGUUGUUAGAGAAGUAAGCGCGUGAGCGUAACUGUUCACGUUUCGACGGUAUCUAACCAGAAAGCCACGGCUAACUACGUGCCAGCAGCCGCGGUAAUACGUAGGUGGCAAGCGUUAUCCGGAUUUAUUGGGCGUAAAGGGAACGCAGGCGGUCUUUUAAGUCUGAUGUGAAAGCCUUCGGCUUAACCGGAGUAGUGCAUUGGAAACUGGGAGACUUGAGUGCAGAAGAGGAGAGUGGAACUCCAGGUGUAGCGGUGAAAUGCGUAGAUAUAUGGAAGAACACCAGUGGCGAAAGCGGCUCUCUGGUCUGUAACUGACGCUGAGGUUCGAAAGCGUGGGUAGCAAACAGGAUUAGAUACCCGGGUAGUC
rnacentral:rRNA from 1 species